GACGAACGCUGGCGGCGUGCUUAACACAUGCAAGUCGAACGGAAAGGCCCUGCUUUUGUGGGGUGCUCGAGUGGCGAACGGGUGAGUAACACGUGAGUAACCUGCCCUUGACUUUGGGAUAACUUCAGGAAACUGGGGCUAAUACCGGAUAGGAGCUCCUGCUGCAUGGUGGGGGUUGGAAAGUUUCGGCGGUUGGGGAUGGACUCGCGGCUUAUCGGCUUGUUGGUGGGGUAGUGGCUUACCAAGGCUUUGACGGGUAGCCGGCAUGAGAGGGUGACCGGCCACAUUGGGACUGAGAGACGGACCAGACGGCUACGGGAGGCAGCAGGGGGGAAUAUUGCACAGUGGGCGGAAGCCAGAUGCAGAAACGCCGCGUGCGGGAUGACGGCCUACUGGUUGUAAACCGCUUUCGCCUGUGACGAAGCGUGAGUGACGGUAAUGGGUAAAGAAGCACCGGCUAACUACGUG
rnacentral:rRNA from 1 species